CCGGUGCCGGAAGGUUAAUUGAUGGGGUCAGCCGCAAGGCGAAGCUCUUGAUCGAAGCCCCGGUAAACGGCGGCCGUAACUAUAGGCAGAUGGGAAAACAGUCGAAUAUUGUAGAGUUCGUGGAAAGGACCAAGAAAGUUGUAGUUACGUAAAUAAACUUGGCCAUAUGCUGGAAUAACCGUGAAUCCUCGGGUACUCGUCGCGCAAGCGACAGUAAUAAUCCUUGAGGUGCGGUCAAUCAGCAGGAAAGGCCUGACUCUAAGUCAGGAAUCCUCAGAGACUUUACGCCAGGCUUCAGAAGGCUCUCUUUUGAAGAUGAUAAAGUCCGAUCUGCAUGGCGACAUGCAGGCAGUUUUACGCAAGGGUAAAACUCCACAAACGCGAUGCAAAUGCGCGUUGUGUAACAAGAUGAACGGUCCUAAGGUAGCGAAAUUCCUUGUCGGGUAAGUAACAUUGCCCGGGGCGGUGGCAACACCGUUCCAGAUAACCGGCUCAAAUCGGUGGAACCCUAACGACGGUUGUACAGGUACGUCGAGGGCAAUACCGAGGGUAAGAUUCGAGGCAACUCGUUUCCCCGUAACGACUCAGGGGUUGAGAUCCCUGGAUGGCUAGACAUCUAGUCCAUAACACGCCGGCCCUGAUCUUUGUCUAUGGAUAUCAAUUCAUACAUUUCAGGUUACGUAGAUGGCGAAGGCUGUUUCUGCGUUUCAUUCCAACCGAGCGGUCGACACCGUCUGGGUUGGGAGGUUAGACCGAGUUUCUCGGUCAGCCAAAACGCCGAUCGAGCUCAGUUGCUCUACCUGAUCAACGAGAUGUGGGAAUGCGGUUCCAUACGACCGGAUCGAUCAGAUAAAACUCUUAAGUUCGAAGUGAGAAACGUCCGGGAUCUGGUGUCAAAAGUGAUACCACAUUUCGAAGCGUUCCCACUGAUGUCAUCGAAGCAGAUGGAUUUCGACAGAUUUGCAAAAGUCUGCCGCAUCAUCAGCGACGAUCGACAUCGAGAACUCGAAGGUUUUAGCGAAAUCGUCCGGCUAGCGAUGGAAAUGAAUCCAUCGGGCAAACGAAAAUACUUCGGCAACGAGAUACUCAGCUCGGUGCAAUCAGGUGAACGUAUAGUCUAUGCCACGAGUAAUCGUGGAAAUCAUGAAGUUCCGACCUGCACGAAUGGCGUAACGCUGGCCCCACUGUCUCGACCCGAGACUCAGUGAACUUGAAAUCGCUGUGAAGAUGCGGCGUAGCUGCGGAAAGACGGAAAGACCCCGUGAACCUUUACUACAGCUUUACACUGAACUUUGACCUUGUUUGUGUAGGAUAGGUGGGACCCUUUGAAGUGGGGGCGCUAGCUCUCAUGGAGGGAACGUUGAAAUACCACCCUGAUAAGUUCGGAGUUCUAACCUUGGCCCGUAAUCCGGGUCGGGAACAAUGUAUGGUGGGUAGUUUGACUGGGGCGGUCUCCUCCCAAAGAGUAACGGAGGAGUGCAAAGGUACCCUCAGCGCGGUCGGUCAUCGCGCAUAGAGUGCAAUGGCAUAAGGGUGCUUGACUGCGAGACUGACAAGUCGAGCAGGUGCGAAAGCAGGUCAUAGUGAUCCGGUGGUUCUGUAUGGAAGGGCCAUCGCUCAACGGAUAAAAGGUACUCCGGGGAUAACAGGCUUAUUCCUCCCAAGAGUCCACAUCGACGGAGGAGUUUGGCACCUCGAUGUCGGCUCAUCACAUCCUGGGGCUGUAGCAGGUCCCAAGGGUAUGGCUGUUCGCCAUUUAAAGUGGUACGCGAGCUGGGUUCAGAACGUCGUGAGACAGUUCGGUCCCUAUCUUCCGUAGCCGUUGGAGAUUUGAGGGUGAGUUGCUCCUAGUACGAGAGGACCGGAGUGAACGUAUCUCUGGUGUUCCGGUUGUCACGCCAGUGGCACUGCCGGGUAGCUAUAUACGGACGGGAUAACCGCUGAAAGCAUCUAAGCGGGAAGCCCCCCCCAAGAUUAGAUCUCCCUAGACCUUUAAGGUCUCUAAAGGGCCGUCGAAGACUACGACGUUGAUAGGCUGGGUGUGUACGCGCAGUAAUGCGUUUAGCUAACCAGUACUAAUUGCCCGUGAGGCUUGACC
rnacentral:rRNA from 1 species